rnacentral:lncRNA from 1 species
CAUAAUAUUUUGGAUAAACUUCAAAUACUAUCCAUAUGAUUUCGCGUUUUCUUUUUUUAAUAUUUUAUAGUUUUAAAGUGUAUUAUUUUAGUAUCCCGUGGUUUUAUUUUUCUCUUUUCGUCAGUACCUCCGCUAACUCUCUGUUAAAUUAUAUACAAAAAACUUCAAAUACUCCGCUUAUGAUUUAUCGAAUAUUCACUGACAUAUGUAGCUUGUAAAUCCAAUAAAAUCACAUAAAAAGACAAGUAAAACUUGGACCCCAAAGAAAAGCAAAGGGCUUUUUUUGCAUUUAGACUCCUGACAAAUUUUUAUUUUAAAAAUAGCCCUGUCAAAAUUUAAUUUGCAAAAAUAGCCCUGAGCUUGCCACGCAGGCGCCACGUCAGCGCCACGCGGGGAGGGCUGGGUCCGUGUGUUAAGUUGAACACGGUAAACCAUUCACCGUGUUCAAACACGGUGAAUGGUUCACCGUGUUUAGUACGUAUUUUUUUACGUAUUUUUUGUAUAUUGAAAAAUGGAAUAAGGAGUAGGAAUGUCAAUAGGUAUGGAUAUCCGAAAUAUUAUCCGAAUUCAAACCCGAAUAUAUAUAUAUAUAUAUAAUUUAUUUUUAUUUAUUUAUACAAUAUAUAAAAUAUUUAAUAAUUUUUAUUUUUAGAUCUCUCCAACCCAGCGGGUGUUUUUAAAAUCCUAUACCGUUGAUGAAGAUCUAAGGAUUUAAAAAUUAUUAAAUAUUUUAUAUAUUGUAUAAAUAAAUAAAAUUAAAUUAUGUAUAUAUAUAUAUAAUUUAUUCGGGUUUGGAUUCGGAUAAUAUUUCGAAUAUCCAUACCUAUUGACAUUCCUACUCCUUAUUCCACUUUUCAAUAUACAAAAAAUACGUAAAAAACACGAUGAACCAUUUACCGUGUUUAGACACGGUAAAUGAUUCACCGUGUUCAACUUAACACCCUGGCCCCAGCCCUGCCCGCGUGGCACUGACGUGGCGUCUGCGUGGCAGAGACAGGGCCAUUUUUACAAUUUUAAUUUUGAUAGGACUAUUUUUAAAAUAAAAAUUGCUCAUGGGGCUAUUUGCAAAAAAAGC